ensembl:misc_RNA 7SK 7SK RNA
GGAUGUGAGGGCCAGCUGGCUGAUCUGGUUGGCUAGGUGGGUAUUCCCUUCCUCCCUCUCUGCUCCAUGUGUGUCCCUCCCCAGGCUGUGAGCUCUGUGCACCUUCCCCAAAUAGAGACCUGUGCACCUUCCCUGAAUAGAGACAAACUGGUCUUUAGUGGAGGGCAUAUGAGUAGCUGUGCUUCCCUGCUAGGACUUCCAAACCAGGUCUCAAAAAGAUCUGUGCAUAUCGAUGUUCACAACAGCAUGAUUUGUAAUAGCCAAAACCUGGAAGAAACCUAGGUGCCCA